GAUGAACGCUAGCGGCAGGCCUGAUACAUGCAAGUCGAACGGUGUCUUCGGACAUAGUGGCGCACGGGUGCGUAACACGUAUGCAACCUACCUUACAUUGGGGGAUAGCCUUUCGAAAGGGAGAUUAAUACCGCAUAAGACAGUAGCUGGGCAUCCAGCAGCUGUUAAAGAUUUAUCGAUGUAAGCUGGGCAUGCGUCCAAUUAGCUAGUUGGUGAGGUAACGGCUCACCAAGGCAAUGAUUGGUAGGGGAACUGAGAGGUCAAUCCCCCACACUGGCACUGAGAUACGGGCCAGACUCCUACGGGAGGCAGCAGUAGGGAAUAUUGGGCAAUGGACGCAAGUCUGACCCAGCCAUGCCGCGUGCAGGAUGAAGGCGUUAUGCGUUGUAUACUGCUUUUAUACAGGAAGAAACGACUCUUGCGAGAGGCAUUGACGGUACUGUAUGAAUAAGCACCGGCUAACUCCGUGCCAGCCGCCGCAGUAAAAC
rnacentral:rRNA from 1 species